AAAUCUCUGAAAACUCCUAUGAGGUCAAAUUAACAUUUGCUGUGAGUAACGUCAGCAUGCCAGUGGACAUUAAACAAAGAAACAGCACCUUUACACAUCUCCAGGAUGUUGUCAAUGUUGCGGUGAACACUCUUCUGAAUGAGCCUGGCAAAGCGUCUCUGCAUCCCAACUCCUCCAGUUUCCAGAGCACACCAAACCAAAUUAAUGGCUCUUUGAAUUAUAUCAUCCGAGAUGGAGAUGCCAUACAACCAGUCAGCUUCCUACAAAAGCUCCAGUCACUCAAGGG